rnacentral:rRNA from 1 species
GACGAACGCUGGCGGCGUGCUUAACACAUGCAAGUCGAACGGAAAGGCCCUGCUUUUGUGGGGUGCUCGAGUGGCGAACGGGUGAGUAACACGUGAGUAACCUGCCCUUGACUUUGGGAUAACUUCAGGAAACUGGGGCUAAUACCGGAUAGGAGCUCCUGCUGCAUGGUGUGGGUUGGAAAGUUUCGGCGGUUGUGGAUGGACUCGCGGGUUAUCAGCUUGUUGGUGGAGUAGUGGCUUACCAAGGCUUUGACGGAUAGCCGGCCUGAGAGGGGUACCGGCGACAUGGGUACUGAGAUACGGCGCAGAAUCCAACGGGAGGCAGUAGGGGGAAGUAUUGCACAAUGGGCGGAAGCCUGAUGUAGCAACGCCGCGUGCGGGAUGACGUCCUUCGGGGGGUAAACCGAUUUCGCCUGUGACGAAGCGUGAGUGACGGUAAUGGGUAAAGAAGCACCGGCUAACUACGUG